rnacentral:rRNA from 1 species
UACGUAGGCAGCGAGCGUUGUUCGGCGUUACUGGGCGUAAAGGGUGUGUAGGCGGUUGUUUAAGUUUGGUGUGAAAUCUCCCGGCUCAACUGGGAGGGUGCGCCGAAUACUGAAUGACUAGAGUGCGGGAGAGGAAAGUGGAAUUCCUGGUGUAGCGGUGAAAUGCGUAGAUAUCAGGAGGAACACCGGUGGUGUAGACGGCUUUCUGGACCGUAACUGACGCUGAGACACGAAAGCGUGGGUAGCAAACAGG